rnacentral:SRP_RNA from 14 species
AGGACCGAAAGGAAGCAGCGAUAAGC